rnacentral:lncRNA from 1 species
GCUGGGAAGUGAGAAGGAUCCAAUCCGGAUCCGUGAGAGAGAGAGCAGCGGUAAGAGUCUGGAUCCAUGCUUGACGGCGGUGCUUGCCGGAAUUCUGAGAUAGCGAUUGCUACCGGAGGUUUCUCGCCGGUGAAGUUGCUCUUCCGGAUCCAUCCAUGACUGACAGCAGAUUUUUUUUUUAACCGAUUUUGUUAUUAUUUUUUAUUUUUAUAUUUUUUUAAUAUAUUUUUUCCAAGUUCAAUAAUUUUUUAUAUAAAAAUAUAUAAAAAUUGAAAAUAAU